GAUGAACGCUAGCGGCAGGCCUAAUACAUGCAAGUCGAACGAGAUUGAGGAGCUUGCUCCUCAUGAAAGUGGCGCACGGGUGCGUAACGCGUAUGCAAUCUACCUUAAUCAGGGGGAUAGCCCGGAGAAAUCCGGAUUAAUACCGCAUAACGUUAUUUUAUGGCAUCAUAGAAUAACCAAACAUUUAUGGGAUUAAGAUGAGCAUGCGUGACAUUAGUUAGUUGGUGAGGUAACGGCUCACCAAGACUACGAUGUCUAGGGGAUCUGAGAGGAUGACCCCCCACACUGGUACUGAGACACGGACCAGACUCCUACGGGAGGCAGCAGUAAGGAAUAUUGGUCAAUGGGCGCAAGCCUGAACCAGCCAUGCCGCGUGCAGGAAGACGGCCCUAUGGGUUGUAAACUGCUUUUAUCGGGAAUAAACCUCUUUACGUGUAAGGAGCUGAAUGUACCGAAGGAAUAAGGAUCGGCUAACUCCGUGCCAGCACG
rnacentral:rRNA from 1 species